UCAUUCUUUAACCCGAGAGAAAUCAUGCAAAAUGAACCGCUUUAAUCGAGAAGUUAACAAUAAUGAACGGGAAGUUCCGAGUUCACACUGUUAAGAAUCUAAUAAAUAAUUGGAGGCGGUAAGCAUCCAGCAUCUCUCCAUUGCGAGAAUGUACUUGGUGCCGUGAGUAACAGCUCAAAAUGUUAGUUUCGUGAAAAAAAGAGUACCAUGCCGGAUGUCCGUAUAAAAAACGAUCGGUACCAGUUCACGUGAUUGUUAAAAGAAAGGUAACUUAAAGGAAGAAGUCUCAUUGACCGGUGUGUUCAGACAGUGUGAAGUUCGAAAGUAAAAAUACACACCUUGUUCGUCAGUCUGUAAAGGUGAAACGUUCAAAACAGUGCAUUCAAGAUGAGAAUUUGGCUCCUGUUAUUGUUGCUGGUUGCUGCAGCGUCUGGAGCACCGUGGGUGGAUAUUCUUUUUGGACAACCUGAUUAUAAUUAUCGCGUUCCCAAGAAUCAGUUCAGACGGCGACAAGGAAAGGCAGGAAAAGAACGAUGGAAGGAGAUUUGUCGGACAUCGAAUCCUGAUCCUUUCGCGUUUCCAGGCCGUGCACCUUACCCUUCUGUGCCCGUGUGUCCUUGGUGAUCGAACGCGUUCAAUAAUUGGACUGUAAAGUUGCGUUAAAAAUAUGAAUUUAUUGUAACAAUAUCAGGGAAUACGAAGAUAUCCGCUGGUUAUGAGUAUUUCAGUCGGUAUACAAGUUUUACUAUUACACUAAUGACAUAAAAGUAUAUCUGUCGAUAUAAAUGAUGUAUCAAGGAUUAAAUUUGUUGAUGAUACAUUGUUUUGUACAGUGAUUGUAUUAUGUUCGCACAAUUACUCGUUGCUAUUUACUCUAUUUAAAAUUGUCGUUAAUUUUUUUUAAAUAUAUUACAGUCAGCAAG